UACGAAGGGGGCUAGCGUUGUUCGGAAUUACUGGGCGUAAAGCGCACGUAGGCGGGUUUGUAAGUAGGGGGUGAAAUCCCAGGGCUCAACCCUGGAACUGCCUUCUAGACUGCAAGCCUGGAGGUCAGGAGAGGCGAGUGGAAUACCGAGUGUAGAGGUGAAAUUCGUAGAUAUCAGGAGGAACACCGGUGGCGAAGGCGGGAUCUCUGGGCCUUACCUGACGCUCAGGCGCGAAAGCUAGGGGAGCGAACAGG
rnacentral:rRNA from 1 species